rnacentral:rRNA from 1 species
UACGUAGGGCGCAAGCGUUAUCCGGAAUUAUUGGGCGUAAAGCGCACGUAGGCGGAUCUUUAAGUCAGGGGUGAAAUCCCGAGGCUCAACCUCGGAACUGCCUUUGAUACUGGGGAUCUCGAGUCCGGAAGAGGUUGGUGGAACUCCGAGUGUAGAGGUGAAAUUCGUAGAUAUUCGGAAGAACACCAGUGGCGAAGGCGGCCAACUGGUCCGGUACUGACGCUGAGGUGCGAAAGCGUGGGGAGCAAACAGG